AUUGGCCGUUGAUCAGGUCAAUAUUCACUGGAAAAGGUCAUGCCGGGACUACUUUUUUUCUUGACAACUGAUUGUUUACUUCUGGUUUUCGCGAUUUUCGUCUGCUUUAUCGUCUGCAUUAUCUAAUAUAAAUCUUAUCAUGGACGAAGAAAUAAAGAAAGGAACCCGUGCACUCGUUAUGAAACCUAUAAAAAUAUAAAAAAA
rnacentral:lncRNA from 1 species